rnacentral:rRNA from 1 species
AACAGGAUUAGAUACCCUGGUAGUCCACGCCGUAAACGAUGGGCACUAGGUGUGGGGGGUGUCGACUCCCCCCGUGCCGAAGCUAACGCAUUAAGUGCCCCGCCUGGGGAGUACGGCCGCAAGGCUAAAACUCAAAGGAAUUGACGGGGACCCGCACAAGCAGCGGAGCAUGUGGUUUAAUUCGACGCAACGCGAAGAACCUUACCUGGGCUUGACAUGUGCCUGACCGGCCUGGAAACAGGUCCUCCCUUCGGGGCAGGUUCACAGGUGGUGCAUGGCUGUCGUCAGCUCGUGUCGUGAGAUGUUGGGUUAAGUCCCGCAACGAGCGCAACCCCCGUCGCAUGUUGCCAGCAUUUAGUUGGGGACUCAUGCGAGACUGCCGGUGACAAACCGGAGGAAGGUGGGGAUGACGUCAAGUCAUCAUGCCCCUUAUGUCCAGGGCUACACACGUGCUACAUUGGCGCGUACAGAGGGCUGCGAUACCGCGAGGUGGAGCGAAUCCCUCAAAGCGCGUCUCGGUUCGGAUUGCAGGCUGAAACCCGCCUGCAUGAAGGUGGAGUUGCUAGUAAUCGCGGAUCAGCAUCGCCGCGGUGAAUACGUUCCCGGGUCUUGUACACACCGCCCGUCACACCACGGGAGUGAGCAACACCCGAAGCCGGUGGCCUAACCCUUUGGGAGGGAGCCGUCGAAGGUGGGGCUCGUGACUGGGGUGAAGUCGUAACAAGGUACC